UGACCAUGUGAUUAUUAAUUAGUAUAUAUGCCUUUUAAAAUCAUAUUUUCUUAUGUCGACCACAUUAUAAUGUCACCUAGCGUUGGGGGGAAUCGUGAUUGCAAAGUUGCUAUUAUGCUUAAAAUCCUAAACCCGUUUUCAGUUGCAAGUCUCUCUUACACUCACCCAAAAAAUUAUCAAGAAACAAAAGGGUUAAUAAAGUGAUGAACUUUUAUGAUGAUGAGAAGGUCAAAAGGAGUUAAACACACAUCACAAGGGAUUGUGGAUUUUUUUGGUCAAACACAAAAGGAUUGUGUUUAUGUGAUAUGUUUUCUUUUAGAUACAUUAUCAGUUUUUUGUUUGCCACUUUCUACGUUUCUUUUUUUUCUUUUCUCUUUUUUCCGCUUACUACGUUUCGUCAUGUGAUGUCCCAUCUUUUUCGAUGUUUAGAUUUCAUGUCCAAAUCAAGAUUGGGUUUGGUUGGGUCAACCCAAAUUAAAGAUGUUCAUGAAGAUGAUGAAUAAAUAACACAAAUGAAGAAACUGUAUCUUCUUUUGUAUAGCGUUGCUACUAUAAUUACACACACGAAUUUUUUUAAAGAUGUUAUGGUAAGUUUUUUUUUUUUUUGCUUAAAAGAUGUUAUGGUAAGUUGGUAACAAUGGAAUCCAGAAGACUGCCGUGUAUGAUCCUCGAAUGCCUUCUCAUGUGGAUUUGACAGUGGCCACUAUUACAUUGAAACCGGAGUGGCCGGAGAGAAGAGAAACAGAGCUACCAAUCAUCAGUUUGAUAACGUAAACUGUAAAGACUGAAACUUAGGGUUACCAGCCAGAUGAGGUGCACGUGACUUAUGCAAGGGGUUUACUUAAUUUUAAUUGUAAGCAAUCUCUGAUUAAUCCCACAUAGCUUGUUUUUUAGUUUGUGGUUAGAUAUAUAUA